UACGUAGGGUGCGAGCGUUAAUCGGAAUUACUGGGCGUAAAGCGCGCGUAGGCGGUUUUUCAAGUCGGAUGUGAAAUCCCCAGGCUCAACCUGGGAACUGCAUUCGAGACUGGAUUACUAGAGUAUGGGAGAGGGAAGUGGAAUUUCCGGUGUAGCGGUGAAAUGCGUAGAUAUCGGAAGGAACAUCAGUGGCGAAAGCGACUUCCUGGACCAAUACUGACGCUCAUGUGCGAAAGCGUGGGGAGCAAACAGG
rnacentral:rRNA from 1 species